rnacentral:SRP_RNA from 1 species
ACGCUGUAACGGCACUUGGCAGAAGCGCGCGGUUCUCUUGUGGAUCUCUACUACAUUGGAAGUGUCCAGUUCGAUCCCUGCGGUCGACUUUCAGGUUGCUCGAGUAAUCAGCAAAUCAAUCGUCAGCAAUGAGUAGCAUCAUCACUGGAGGGAAGCAAUUCAGCACAGUAGGCUACCCGUGGUGGAGGCGAAGUGGAUGGCACGUCCUUUGGCUUUGGUAUAGAUCAGCAAGUACAAGCUGCAACUCCAUU